UCUAACCAGAAAGGUCGCUGUAUAAGGUGAGCGGUAUGCUUCCCCAUAGACUGGUCGACUCGACAGUAGGCAUAAACCAGAGGUCGGCCAUCUUGGCGGAAGCACGUAGCGGCACGUACACAAAACGAAUCCCUUGCGAUCAGCUACGGGGCAGGCAGCAAUUGGAGAAACCAGGGUGCCGAGCUGAUUGCAGGGAGGAGUUGGGUAGUACACAGGGGAUGCAGCUACGCGAGUAAAGCCCCUUGUGCUGAGAUGUAAUUGCCAACCGGAGCGUGUGCGUGUGCACGGACACCUGCACCCCUUUCACUCAGGAUACAGAGCACAGUUCAGUGCACGGAAGAUCGUGUCACAGGCCUGGCUGAUUGUACUUCAGGAAUUUCUUUUAAGUCCAAGGGAAAAAAGAGAAGGUCCUGGGAUGCGGGUCCUUACUCCAACAAGGGAGCUGGCUCUCCAGAUAGAGGCGAAGUGCAGCUAGUACAGUUACAAAGGAAUUACCGGUGUGGUUGCUGUAUUGAAAAGAAGACUCUUGAACACCUGGUGCAGUAUACAAUUGUAGCAUGAAUGUAUUGGAUGAGGCAGACAAGAUGUUGGACAUGGGAUAAUGAAGAUAAUCCUGGAUACACGGCCUGACACAGACCAUAAUGACCAGUGCAACUUGGCUACCUGAUGUUCGUCGCCUUGCGCAGUCUUACCUUAAGGACCCCAUGAUGGUGUAUGUAGGAACUCUGAACUUAGCGGUGGGUGCAGUCACGUGCAUUAUUGCUACAGUGAUGGAAUGACAGUAAACCACCGGCAUUGUACUGUAUAAGCGCUUUCAUAUCCAAAUAUUGAAAUGAUCUCAGAAGUGCGGUGUAAUGAAAGGAUCACGUGACGUGCACCAUGACAUGGUUGCUUUCCAUUAGGCUCCACACCAUUACCCCCAAUAUCUUAAAUUAAUUACUUAUCUGCAUAAUUUUCAUUAUUUUUACUGAAUCCCCUGCUGUGGAAUGUCAUCCAGGAAGAAAGACACAUCUUCCCCUCUAUCUACACCGGAUGGGUGUAGGAGGAGUUGGCCCCAGUGAUUGAGCGAGCUGUGGCGGCCCAACUUGUGGCUUGGUAGCAGGAAUGUUAUCCGAGGCUUUGGGCCCAAUCAACAAGGUGAUGCGGGACAAUGUAACAAUGCUCCGCUCUCUCAGAGUAGACCUUAAUAUUCACAUUAAAGCAUUGUAGAAACUUACCUCGAAAGUUGAUGCAGUAAAGGCAGAAAUGCAUCAGGUUAAAAAGGACAUUAAUCACUGCCUUGACCAAGUGGAUAAAUUUCAGGAUAAGCUGAAUGAUCUCGAGGAUCAAUCACGCCAUUGCAACGUUCGGCUGGUCAACUUAUCAGAAGGUUUGGAGGGGGACGAUCCCACUAGCUACUUGCAAAGAAUGCUCCCUCUUUGGAUUCCCAGUCUCUCCUUAGCUUCAAUAGCUCCGAUUCAAGCAACAGCCACCAGGCGUAAGGCUUUUACAGAGGUCAGGGCUAGGCUUCGCCAGAAAGUAGUGGACAGUGUCCUAAUUUACCAUGCAGUGCUAAAGGUUUCAUACAGAAGUGAAAACCUUUCGUUUGUAUCUUCUGAAGAGGUAGAAACCUUUUUGUCUCGUCUGACCAGCCUGAUGCCGCUGCCCUCUAGGAGACCUCUUCAGUUUGAUUCAUCUGCUAUGGAAGAGGACUCUAUUGCUAACAAGUAGGAGAAUGUAUUGUCUCUGUUUUAUUUAACUGCUGACAGAUAGGAGAAUCCUGUCUCUGUUGUAGCGUAAAUGAGUGCUAUGUAUGCAGCAGGGGACUGUAGUUUGGUGUCACUUUUUUACUAGGGGGUUAUGGAGGGUUACGGAGGGUUAAUG